CCCAAUGAGCAGAACUAUAAAACAUGAGUUGAAAACAUGAUCUCAUGGAAUGCACUACAUCACAUCAUCUCAGGGAUCAGACAUGACCACCAACAAUCCCACUCAAGGAUGCCUGACCUAGCCAGGUCUUACAACCUCCGUCUGCCUGGCCCGGCCAGGUCUUACACUCUGCCUGCCUGGCCCAGCCAGGUCUUACUAUCUCUGCUGCCUGAUCUAAUCAGGUCUUACCUACAGAUGGCUGCCUGGCCCGGCCAGGUCUUAUAACAGAGUUUGGGCUAUUGGAGUCGCCUUGGUCUAUCCACAGCCUCAUACGCAUCGUAUUAUGCAAUGCAUCAUAUUCGUGAAACUAAUGCAAUCAUCCUACUAGACUCAUUAUGAUGCAUGAUAUAUGCUCAAAGCAGUUUAAGUCUGAAAAGAGAAGUUCCACUCACCUCUGGCUGACUCUGUACUAACUCUGCAGGUUCUGAAA
rnacentral:lncRNA from 1 species